UGGUUUUCAAAACAGCUUGUCUCUCGA
rnacentral:sRNA from 1 species